rnacentral:lncRNA from 1 species
GUAUACUUAAAGAAGUAGAUGAAGGAAAAAUUAAUGUUCAGAUGUGUGUGCAUUUAAUGCAUGCUUUUGUGUGUGUUCCUGCAGGUUCAAAAGAGGAAUUUCAUAGAGAAUAUUAUUCCAAUCAUCAUCUCCCUGAAGACUGUGCUGGAGAAAAAUAAGAUCCCUGCUUUAAGGGAACUCAUGAACUACCUCAGGGUAAAUGAGGAACUUGCCCUGUGGGGUUUUCCUCCCAAGCCCCACUGCCCCAGAUUCAUUGCUUAGUCUAGACAGUGAACGACAAGAACUCGGUGCUAAGAAACCUCGUUUAUAGAAAUGUACCGAGCAGGCUGCCAAGGGCAUUGAGGGACUGAAGUGUGGCCAGAAGUACCACUGAGGUGCUCCGUGUUUCUCAGGCCACUGAGUUUUUAAA